rnacentral:rRNA from 1 species
UGCAUAUCCAAUAAGCGGAGGAAAAGAAACCAACAGGGAUUGCCUCAGUAACGGCGAGUGAAGCGGCAAAAGCUCAAAUUUGAAAUCUAGCACCUUCGGUGUUUGAGUUGUAAUUUGAAGAUGGUAACCUUGGGUUUGGCUCUUGUCUAUGUUCCUUGGAACAGGACGUCAUAGAGGGUGAGAAUCCCGUCUGAUGAGAUGCCCAUUCCUAUGUAAGGUGCUAUCGAAGAGUCGAGUUGUUUGGGAAUGCAGCUCUAAGUGGGUGGUAAAUUCCAUCUAAAGCUAAAUAUUGGCGAGAGACCGAUAGCGAACAAGUACAGUGAUGGAAAGAUGAAAAGAACUUUGAAAAGAGAGUGAAAAAGUACGUGAAAUUGUUGAAAGGGAAGGGCAUUAGAUCAGACUUGGUGUUUUACGAUUAUCUUCUCUUCUUGAGUUGUGCACUCGUAUUUCACUGGGCCAGCAUCGAUUCGGAUGGCAAGAUAAUGGCAGUUGAAUGUGGCUUCACUUCGGUGGAGUGUUAUAGCUUCUGCUGAUAUUGCCUGUCUGGAUCGAGGGCUGCGUCUUUUGACUAGGAUGCUGGCGUAAUGAUCUAAUGCCGCCCGUCUUGAAACCACGGAC